AGUGGCGAACGGGUGAGUAACACGUGAGCAAUCUGCCCCUGACUCUGGGAUAAGCGCUGGAAACGGCGUCUAAUACCGGAUACGAGCUGCGGCCGCAUGGUCGGCAGUUGGAAAGAUUUUUCGGUCAGGGAUGAGCUCGCGGCCUAUCAGCUUGUUGGUGAGGUAAUGGCUCACCAAGGCGUCGACGGGUAGCCGGCCUGAGAGGGUGACCGGCCACACUGGGACUGAGACACGGCCCAGACUCCUACGGGAGGCAGCAGUGGGGAAUAUUGCACAAUGGGCGGAAGCCUGAUGCAGCAACGCCGCGUGAGGGAUGACGGCCUUCGGGUUGUAAACCUCUUUUAGCAGGGAAGAAGCGAAAGUGACGGUACCUGCAGAAAAAGCGCCGGCUAACUACGUGCCAGCAGCCGCGGUAAUACGUAGGGCGCAAGCGUUAUCCGGAAUUAUUGGGCGUAAAGAGCUCGUAGGCGGUCUGUCGCGUCUGCUGUGAAAUCCCGAGGCUCAACCUCGGGUCUGCAGUGGGUACGGGCAGACUAGAGUGCGGUAGGGGAGAUUGGAAUUCCUGGUGUAGCGGUGGAAUGCGCAGAUAUCAGGAGGAACACCGAUGGCGAAGGCAGAUCUCUGGGCCGUAACUGACGCUGAGGAGCGAAAGGGUGGGGAGCAAACAGGCUUAGAUACCCUGGUAGUCCACCCCGUAAACGUUGGGAACUAGUUGUGGGGUCCAUUCCACGGAUUCCGUGACGCAGCUAACGCAUUAAGUUCCCCGCCUGGGGAGUACGGCC
rnacentral:rRNA from 1 species